rnacentral:lncRNA from 1 species
UUAUGAUCUUUGUGAUUGUCAUUACAAUGCUAUCCAUUUCAUUGUUAUUCAUUCUUUUUGAUGAUAACAAAAAGGGGGAGAAAAUAUAAGGGAGAAACUAGAAGCAAAUUCUAUAAGAAAAACAGUAUAGGGGAGAAAAUAUAAUAGGGGAGAAAAUAUAAAAGGUAUAUAUUGCAUACUUAAGGGGGAGACAUGUAUUAUACACUUAAG